AUGCUGGGUAAUGGCACAGCUAGCGACCGGGUGACUUUAUUCACCCGUUUCGGCUGUUAUCAGUCCAUACAAUGGGCGUUAUUAGCACAAAUCAGUCCCAGAGAUGUGGGCCAUCCACCUGCUAGAUUGUUCAGAAGGUUGUUCUCAUCCAUCCAGAUGGAGGAUCACUAACAGGAGCGUGGAAGACUCCAGAAUCCACUCUGGCUGGAAUCCGGUGGAUACAGCAGUGUUACAGAACAGUUCUCCACAGUCACUGUCCACAUGGGUCAGUGGGACCAAGAAGCACUCUGCUAAUGUGAGACUCUGAUCAGCAACAUCCAGCAACAUCCAGCAAGACCCAGGCAGCGUUUUCUGUCUCCCAGCUGGAGUUUUUUGUUUGUCUGUGACUGAAGAGUCAGAUUUUUGUUGAAGCUGGAGGAACAGCCUCCAGCCAACCACUUGCAGAGGUUAAUACACUCUACUGAUCCCUGAUGGGAGAAUCAUCACCUCUGCCAACAAAGAAGCCUGGUGGAUGUUUGUUUGCAGUCUGAUGAUGGGACAUCAUGCUCUGCAUCUUCAAAGUUUGUCUCUUGAUUAUUAUUCAUACACAGUAAUGUGAAGCAUGCUCAUAUCUAGUAUAACUGGACCAACCUGGUGCUCUUCAUUUAUGGAGGCUGUUGAGUCUGAAUGUUGGAUGUUGUGUAUCUCGUGUUCUCUGGGCUUUGUUGUCCUCAGUCUUUUUGCAGGAUCAGAAAACAAAACCAGGAGGCCUGUAAAUGUUUCUUCUCCAAUUGGAUGAUGAUAAGACUGUGACACGGGAUGCCACCUUUAGUCUUGUGAUGAAGCAAAGCUCAGGAAGAAGUGUGAUUAAAUGGUACCCACAUGUGUGCUGCUGAGAAGGAUGUACAGGGGCACCUGCAGCCAAAUCCAAGCCUCCUCAGAGCAGAGCGGCCGUUUGUGCUCACAGAUGGUGACGGUGUGGAGAGACGGUGGUGUUUCCUCAGAAGAACUAGCAGAGUCACAAAGGGCACGAGUCCUUCUCACCACCUUGACUUGCUGACUGAUGCUCGUCUGCACUGCACAGAGGAAAUCAACUGACCGAGGAGUGUUUCUGAGUGAGGGAGAGAGGAGUCAUCAUCCAGGUAAAGUGACGUGGAUCAGUGGACACACUUGUCUCCCCUUUAAAGGAGAUACUCUUAGAGAGAGACGAUCAGAGUCAUCCUUAAAUAUGGGCAGGAUAUCAGUCUUGGACUGUCUAACCUGCCGGAGCAGCACUGAAUAACCACCGCACAUGAGCAUGUUCCUGCAACAUUCAGCAGCUUUGCUUUUGUGUCAAAUGUCAACCAGCUGGAGAGGAAACUACACCAGUGUACUGGGAUGUUUCACCAACACGUGCCAGACGCUGUUCCUUCAUGGUGACAUCACCAGAGACAGCCCCGCCCACCCUCAGGACCUCGCCAUUGAUCAUGAUGAUUAUAAUGAUGACAGCGAGCGGAACUAAGACUGUAAAAAUCCACGACCAGAAUGUUUAGAUGCUUUCUAAUUAUUAAUGAAUACUGAGAGCCUCUUUCUGUGUUUUGUCUGUUUUGGUUUUUUUUACCUCAUUUGUUACUAACAAAGUUCAACAAACUCACACAGUUUACAUUCUGUAUGUUUCCAUCUUUACCAGCCACAGUCUAACUGCAAUUAAGAAAACAAACCGUAGAAAUCGUUGCUUUUCUCUUUUGUAAUUGAUGAUAAUUCAGUGAAUUUACUGCGCUGCUUCCUUUUGUUUCGUCUCACAUUGCUUUAAGUUUUUCAGUGUUCAGUUAUUUUUUACUGUUGUUUGAAUUCUCUGUAUGUUUGACCCUGUAGACUGUUUAAUGGACUGCUUGUCUUCCUGUUUGUAACCGCCGCCUGUUUUUGACUAAAGAUUUGGAUUUCUGACUUUAACACAGCCUCUGCGUGUCCUCCCUUUGUGUCCUCUUCCUCUGUGAAUGUGUUGCAUGUGUCACAGAUUCAUUUAUUAACAGCUUUCCCACAGUGAGUUGCAUCAGCAUUCAUUCACAGCACA